AGAGUUUGAUCCUGGCUCAGAUUGAACGCUGGCGGCAGGCUUAACACAUGCAAGACGAGCGGAGAGAGGUAGCUUGCUACUGAUCUUAGCGGCGGACGGGUGAGUAAUGCUUAGGAAUCUGCCUAUUAGUGGGGGACAACAUUUCGAAAGGAAUGCUAAUACCGCAUACGUCCUACGGGAGAAAGCAGGGGAUCUUCGGACCUUGCGCUAAUAGAUGAGCCUAAGUCGGAUUAGCUAGUUGGUGGGGUAAAGGCCUACCAAGGCGACGAUCUGUAGCGGGUCUGAGAGGAUGAUCCGCCACACUGGGACUGAGACACGGCCCAGACUCCUACGGGAGGCAGCAGUGGGGAAUAUUGGACAAUGGGCGCAAGCCUGAUCCAGCCAUGCCGCGUGUGUGAAGAAGGCCUUAUGGUUGUAAAGCACUUUAAGCGAGGAGGAGGCUACUUUAGUUAAUACCUAGAGAUAGUGGACGUUACUCGCAGAAUAAGCACCGGCUAACUCUGUGCCAGCAGCCGCGGUAAUACAGAGGGUGCAAGCGUUAAUCGGAUUUACUGGGCGUAAAGCGCGCGUAGGCGGCUAAUUAAGUCAAAUGUGAAAUCCCCGAGCUUAACUUGGGAAUUGCAUUCGAUACUGGUUAGCUAGAGUGUGGGAGAGGAUGGUAGAAUUCCAGGUGUAGCGGUGAAAUGCGUAGAGAUCUGGAGGAAUACCGAUGGCGAAGGCAGCCAUCUGGCCUAACACUGACGCUGAGGUGCGAAAGCAUGGGGAGCAAACAGGAUUAGAUACCCUGGUAGUCC
rnacentral:rRNA from 1 species